AUACUUACCUGUACGGGGUCAAUGGGCGAUCAAUAAGACCAAUGGCCUAGGCUUGUGACCUCUAUUGCACUUUGGAGGAGUGCCUGCCUAAGAUCUGCGUUCGCAGCUUUUCCUUAUUUGUUUGUAACUCAAGUCUGAUUAAUAAGUUUUUUC